GGGUCAAUGUUGAAUACUUUAUAUUGCCUUGAGGAGAGGUGAUGAUUUAAAUAUCAAGUACAAUGGCAUGAUGCUGAGGCCC
rnacentral:snoRNA from 1 species